rnacentral:rRNA from 1 species
UCGAGAAUCUUCGGCAAUGGGCGCAAGCCUGACCGAGCGACACCGCGUGCGGGAUGAAGGCCUUCGGGUUGUAAACCGCUGUCGUAGGGGAGGAAGGUCUGGUGUAUAGCCAGGCUUGACCGAUCCUAGGAGGAAGGGCCGGCUAAUCUCGUGCCAGCAGCCGCGGUAAUACGAGAGGCCCAAACGUUAUUCGGAUUUACUGGGCUUAAAGAGUUCGUAGGCGGCGCGGAAAGUAGGGUGUGAAAGCCCUCGGCUUAACCGAGGAAUUGCGCCCUAAACUGUCGCGCUCGAGGAACCUAGAGGUGAGCAGAACUGAUGGUGGAGCGGUGAAAUGCGUUGAUAUCAUCAGGAAUACCGGAGGCGAAGGCGGCUCACUGGGGGUUAUCUGACGCUGAGGAACGAAAGCCAGGGGAGCAAACGGGAUUAGAUACCCCGGUAGUCCUGGCCGUAAACGAUGAGCACUGGACCGGAGGACUGCACAGUUUUCCGGUCGUAGCGAAAGUGUAAGUG